rnacentral:lncRNA from 1 species
GUUUUGAUGCUUUUCAUGUCUUUGGGCAGUUUGCUGUGUUUAUUUUGGGGGGAAGGUCAGCACUCCCAGCUGAUGCUGGGAGAAUGCUCUGGGAGAGAAGCAUCCCUGGAGACAGCCCUCCUUCCAGCAGCACAUGGCAAAACUCUGAGACUUCCCUUUCAGUGGGAGGCACAGGAGAUAUUUUGGACUGCAAGCUGUGGCUUUAAAAAAACACACCCAGUAGUGAUUUGAGGUUUUCUUCUUGAAGCCUUCCUGACUUUGAACAUAAAUUGCAUCUGUUUUGGUAAGCAGGCUACCAGCAAGCCAGACCUGUUCCUGGGAUUACUGUGACCACAGGUAUAGCUGUUUCUUUUCCAUAUGGGAUGACUUAGGCCCCUGUUCCCUGCCGGUGUGUGGUUGGAUUUUACCUUCCUCCACAUCGUGGCAUUUUGGAAAGAGGGGCUUGUUUUACAGAGCAGCUGUGUUGUCUUAAUGCAGCUGUAACGUGUGUUUGUCUCGGAGCACAGCAGGACUAGGAAGAGGUUUUAUUAGAUCAUUCCCAGGUCCCAAUAAUCUCUGAGGCUCUCAGAUCUGUGCUGCUCUCGCUCCGUAGGACAGGGCUGGAAGCUGAAGAUGGGAAAUCACUUGUGUGUGAUCCUUUAUCUGCUUCAUCUCACAGCUGCUGCUCCCCUCCUGGCUGUUUGUAGCAGCCAGAGAGGACCUAGUUCUUGUAUCCCAGACCUUCAACCACAGCCUAACAGCCUCCAAGGGAUCCUCCCUGCUUGGGCUGGUGUUUGUGGCACUGCUGGUGGCUCUGCAGCCUGGAUCCCAAGGAGCGUUCCCAUCCCAUCACCACUGACUGCCAGCAUCGGGAUCACGGCCACCCAGGGAGUUGGACAUGAUGGAGCUGGACACACACCAGGGUUCCCUCUGCUCCACCAAGUUGCCUGGGGUCUGCCAGGAUGCCAGUCACAGUCAGGCACAGAUCCAUCCUCUGGAGUGCCCCAGCUGAACAGGAGGAGCAGUGGGGAGGCAGCAGAUUCCUUUGGGAUCGCUGGGAUUUGGCUCAGCCCCGCGUGGCGGUGCCAGCCCAGCUGCACAGAGGCUGCAUCUGCAGGGAUCUCACAUCUGGAAUAACCUGGCUCAGGAAUCAGGCAGGUUUAAUUGUCCUGGCUCCCUUCCUUCCCAGGCACAGCCCUGACUCUUCCUGGCUUUGUGGGGAAGAUGCUCCCACCUUUCUUUGGGAGCCCCUUCCACGGAGACCAGCACAAAUCCAGCCCAUUUUGCCACGGAUCUCUUUUCUUCCCAAGCUUGCUCCAGCUGUGAGCAGCUGCAGUGCUG